GACGAACGCUGGCGGCACGCUUAACACAUGCAAGUCGAACGAGAUCCAUGGAGCUUGCUCCAGAAGAUCUAGUGGCGAACGGGUGCGUAACACGUGAGAAAUCUGCCCCGAACUUGGGAAUAACAGUCGGAAACGACUGCUAAUACCGAAUACCUUCACGACGUCGCAUGGCGAUGUGAAGAAAGCUUUAUGCGGUUUGGGAGGCUCUCGCGGCCUAUCAGCUUGUUGGUGAGGUAACGGCUCACCAAGGCAUCGACGGGUAGCUGGUCUGAGAGGAUGAUCAGCCACACUGGGACUGAGACACGGCCCAGACUCCUACGGGAGGCAGCAGUGGGGAAUAUUGCACAAUGGGCGCAAGCCUGAUGCAGCGAUGCCGCGUGCGGGAUGAAGGCCCUAGGGUUGUAAACCGCUUUCAGUAGGGAAGAAAAUGACGGUACCUACAGAAGAAGGUGCGGCCAACUACG
rnacentral:rRNA from 1 species